rnacentral:rRNA from 1 species
AUUGAACGCUGGCGGCAUGCCUAACACAUGCAAGUCGAACGAGUGGCGGACGGGUGGGUAAUGUAUGUGCAACUGCCCGGUGGAUGGGUACAAGUACGGGUAACUGUUGCUAAUACCGCACACCGUCGGAGAUGCCCAGAUGGGAUUGGGUAGUGGGUGGGGUAACGGCUCACCAAGGCCACGAGCCCUAGCUGGUUUGAGAGGAUGACCAGCCACACUGGAACUGAGACACGGUCCAGACUCCUACGGGAGGCAGCAGUGGGGAAUAUUGCACAAUGGGGGCAAGCCUGAUGCAGCCAUGCCGCGUGUGUGAAGAAGGCCUUCGGGUUGUAAAGUACUUUCAGCGGGGAGGCGUUACCCGCAGAAGAAGCACCGGCUAACUCCGUGCCAGCAGCCGCGGUAAUUC